UUAAAUUUUGUUUUUCUUCAGACACAGGCCAAUCAGCAUAGAUUCGACGCCCAGAGGCGCCAAAGCACAUCUCACUUCCACAGGUUUGAGGAUGAAGGACCCAAAGGUCUAUCUUAUUAAUGAUCCCUCCGCAGGUUCACCUACGGAGA
rnacentral:misc_RNA from 1 species